rnacentral:rRNA from 1 species
UACGUAGGGCGCAAGCGUUGUCCGGAAUUAUUGGGCGUAAAGAGCUCGUAGGCGGUUUGUCGCGUCUGCUGUGAAAACCUGAGGCUCAACCUCGGGCUUGCAGUGGGUACGGGCAGACUAGAGUGCGGUAGGGGUGACUGGAAUUCCUGGUGUAGCGGUGGAAUGCGCAGAUAUCAGGAGGAACACCGAUGGCGAAGGCAGGUCACUGGGCCGCAACUGACGCUGGAGGAG